CUGCCAGCAAGCGCGAGAUGUACGGGAUCAGCGGCAAGUUCAGGAUCAGCAGUACGAUGUUGCCGACGUACAUGGAGAUGAUCACCGACCAAAACACAUCCGGAUGGUCAACAAACAAGCGAGGAC
rnacentral:ncRNA from 1 species